rnacentral:rRNA from 1 species
AUUGAACGCUGGCGGCAUGCCUUACACAUGCAAGUCGAACGGUAACGGGCCUUCGGGUGCCGACGAGUGGCGAACGGGUGAGUAAUGCAUCGGAACGUACCUUUCAGUGGGGGAUAACGUAGCGAAAGUUACGCUAAUACCGCAUAUUCUGUGAGCAGGAAAGCAGGGGAUCGCAAGACCUUGCGCUGAUUGAGCGGCCGAUGUCAGAUUAGCUAGUAGGUGAGGUAAAGGCUCACCAAGGCGACGAUCUGUAGCGGGUCUGAGAGGAUGAUCCGCCACACUGGAACUGAGACACGGUCCAGACUCCUACGGGAGGCAGCAGUGGGGAAUUUUGGACAAUGGGGGCAACCCUGAUCCAGCCAUGCCGCGUGAGUGAAGAAGGCCUUCGGGUUGUAAAGCUCUUUCGGCCGGGAAGAAAUCGCACGGGCUAAUACCCUGUGUGGAUGACGGUACCGGAAUAAGAAGCACCGGCUAACUACGUGCCAGCAGCCGCAGUAAUAC